rnacentral:misc_RNA from 1 species
GAUGAAGAACGCAGUGAAAUGCGAUAAGUAAUGUGAAUUGCAGAAUUCAGUGAAUCAUCGAAUCUUUGAACGCACCUUGCACCCUUUGGCUAUUCCGAAGGGUAUGCCUGUUUGAGUAUCAUGAACACCUCAACUCUCAUGGUUUGCCAUGAUGAGCUUGGACUUUGGGGGUCUUGCUGGCCUGUGGUCAGCUCCUCUCAAAUGGAUUAGCUUGCCAGUGUUUGGUGGCAUCACAGGUGUGAUAACUAUCUACGCUUGUGGUUUUCCACCAGGUAACCUUCAGCAAUGGGGGUUCGCUGGGGCUCAUAAAUGUCUCUCCUCAGUGAGGACAGCUCUUUGAACGUUUGAUCUCAAAUCAGGUAGGACUACCCGCUGAACUUAAGCAUAUCAAUAAGCGGAGGA